rnacentral:rRNA from 1 species
UUGGGCUACACACGUGCUACAAUGGACAAUACAAAGGGCAGCGAAACCGCGAGGUCAAGCAAAUCCCAUAAAGUUGUUCUCAGUUCGGAUUGUAGUCUGCAACUCGACUACAUGAAGCUGGAAUCGCUAGUAAUCGUAGAUCAGCAUGCUACGGUGAAUACGUUCCCGGGUCUUGUACACACCGCCCGUCACACCACGAGAGUUUGUAACACCCGAAGCCGGUGGAGUAACCUUUUAGGAGCUAGCCGUCGAAGGUGGGACAAAUGAUUGGGGUGAAGUCGUAACAAGGUA